UUGACCUCGGAUCAGGUAGGAAUACCCGCUGAACUUAAGCAUAUCAAUAAGCGGAGGAAAAGAAACCAACAGGGAUUGCCCCAGUAACGGCGAGUGAAGCGGCAACAGCUCAAAUUUGAAAUCUGGCCCCAGGCCCGAGUUGUAAUUUGCAGAGGAUGCUUUUGGCGAGGUGCCUUCCGAGUUCCCUGGAACGGGACGCCAUAGAGGGUGAGAGCCCCGUACGGUUGGACACCAAGUCUUUGUAAAGCUCCUUCGACGAGUCGAGUAGUUUGGGAAUGCUGCUCAAAAUGGGAGGUAUAUUUCUUCUAAAGCUAAAUAUUGGCCAGAGACCGAUAGCGCACAAGUAGAGUGAUCGAAAGAUGAAAAGCACUUUGAAAAGAGGGUUAAACAGCACGUGAAAUUGUUAAAAGGGAAGCGCUUAUGACCAGACUUGCGCCCGGUGAAUCACCCAGCUCUCGCGGCUGGGGCACUUUGCCGGCUCAGGCCAGCAUCAGCUCGCUGUCGGGGACAAAAGCUUCGGGAACGUAGCUCUCUUCGGGGAGUGUUAUAGCCCGUUGCAUAAUACCCUUCGGCGGGCUGAGGUACGCGCUCCGCAAGGAUGCUGGCGUAAUGGUCAUCAGCGACCCGUCUUGAAACACGGACCAAGGAGUCAACCUUAUGUGCGAGUGUUUGGGUGUUAAACCCCUACGCGUAAUGAAAGUGAACGCAGGUGAGAGCUUCGGCGCAUCAUCGACCGAUCCUGAUGUUCUCGGAUGGAUUUGAGUAAGAGCAUAUAGGGUUGGACCCGAAAGAAGGUGAACUAUGCGUGUAUAGGGUGAAGCCAGAGGAAACUCUGGUGGAGGCUCGCAGCGGUUCUGACGUGCAAAUCGAUCGUCAAAUAUGCGCAUGGGGGCGAAAGACUAAUCGAACCUUCUAGUAGCUGGUUUCCGCCGAAGUUUCCCUCAGGAUAGCAGUGUUGAACUCAGUUUUAUGAGGUAAAGCGAAUGAUUAGGGACUCGGGGGCGCUAUAUUGCCUUCAUCCAUUCUCAAACUUUAAAUAUGUAAGAAGCCCUUGUUACUUAGUUGAACGUGGGCAUUCGAAUGUAUCAACACUAGUGGGCCAUUUUUGGUAAGCAGAACUGGCGAUGCGGGAUGAACCGAACGCGAGGUUAAGGUGCCAGAGUAGACGCUCAUCAGACACCACAAAAGGUGUUAGUACAUCUUGACAGCAGGACGGUGGCCAUGGAAGUCGGAAUCCGCUAAGGACUGUGUAACAACUCACCUGCCGAAUGUACUAGCCCUGAAAAUGGAUGGCGCUCAAGCGUCUCACCCAUACCUCGCCCUCAGCGUAGAAACGAUGCGCUGAGGAGUAGGCGGACGUGGAGGUCAGUGACGA
rnacentral:rRNA from 1 species